CGCGUAGGCGGUCUUGCAAGUCCCGUGUGAAAUCCCUCGGCUCAACUGAGGAACUGCACGGGAAACUGCUUGGCUUGAGUUCGGGAGAGGGAAGCGGAAUUCCGGGUGUAGCGGUGAAAUGCGUAGAUAUCCGGAGGAACACCGGUGGCGAAGGCGGCUUCCUGGACCGACACUGACGCUGAGGCGCGAAAGCUAGGGGAGCAAACGG
rnacentral:rRNA from 1 species